GCGAAUCUGUAAUAAUUUCCUUAGGCUCAUCCAGAUUCGUCCUCACUUACCCAGUUUAUGGGGCAUAAAUUCUUAGAUACACAAUCUAUAGAAGAAUGUCAUUAACAACAUAAAUCUGAAAACAAUUUAUGUCCUCCGCUAUCUUACCGCUUCGGUUUCUCAAAACCUUGUCUAAGUAGUCUGGUUUGCUUAAGAGAGCUGCAGGGAACCCAGUGUCCGGGUUUAACAGCCCAUUGAGAGAAACGGGCCACGUGCUGGCUUGCGGAAAGCUGUUGCUUUUCACCUGGAGCCUGGAAGCAGCCCCUCUGUGCCGCUAAAACUUUUCAGAGUGCACAGGCGGGAAAGUAACAUAGUAGGGAAUGAAGGACUCCCUCUUGAUUCCUUACAGUUCUCUUUUGGUUCUCAAACUGACCUCCACACACAGAGGGCAGGGAGAGAUGGAAAAAACAGCAGCCACUUCCCAGAUGCGUGGGUGGCAGGUUUAAUCAGCCACGGAGCUUCCACACGAGUUUUGUCCCGCACAGCGGCAACUCCAGUAGGUCUCCUCAUCUGCCCGCCAGAAUCUUCCAAGUUCACCUACGGCACAGACGGUCUCAGCAACACGGCGCUCUCUCUAAGCUGUGUCCAUGGAAAAGGCUCCCCCGCUAGGAAUGGUGGGCAGAACGUGCAAGCGGAGAGGGGGCGUGACGAGCUUCCCAUUGCGCAGAUCCAGCUCUCGAGUCAACAAGCCGUCAUGUUCUCCCGAUGACCCCCUUCCAAUACUCUGCCCCCUCGUGCGGCCUCGAGGUCAAUUCGUUAGAUUCUGGCAGGCAGGUGCAGAGGUCUACUCCAGCUGCGGGCGCGCAGGACAAGCCCCACACCCGAGCUCUCCGGCUUGUUAAGGCGACCACCUACUGGUCUGGAGUGGCUGCCUCCUUCCUCCGUCUCUCGCUGCCCUCUGCGUGGGGGGGUCAGAUUCAGAUGACCCCAGCGAAGUUUCUGAGGCUGAGAAAACAUUUCCACCCACGUAAAACACAAGUGCGGAAGAGUAAAGAGAAGAAAAAGGUUCCUUAUGUUCCCAGAGAGACUGUGAGUUCUUAA
rnacentral:lncRNA from 1 species